UACGGAGGGGGCUAGCGUUGCUCGGAAUCACUGGGCGUAAAGGGCGCGUAGGCGGGAUGGCAAGUCAGUCGUGAAAUCUCUCGGCUCAACCGAGAAACGUCGGCUGAUACUGCCAUUCUUGAGGGAUGCAGAGGAGACUGGAAUUCCCGGUGUAGCGGUGAAAUGUGUAGAGAUCGGGAGGAACACCGGUGGCGAAGGCGGGUCUCUGGGCACCUCCUGACGCUGAGGCGCGAAAGCGUGGGGAGCAAACAGG
rnacentral:rRNA from 1 species